rnacentral:rRNA from 1 species
UUUUACAAUGGAGAGUUUGAUCCUGGCUCAGGAUGAACGCUAGCUACAGGCUUAACACAUGCAAGUCGCGGGGCAGCAUAGUGAUUGCUUGCAAUUACUGAUGGCGACCGGCGCACGGGUGAGUAACGCGUAUCCAACCUACCCUUUACUACGGGAUAACCCGGCGAAAGUCGGACUAAUACCGUAUGUAGUCCAUUGACGGCAUCCGAUUUGGACCAAAGGCUUAGCGGUAAAGGAUGGGGAUGCGUCCGAUUAGCUUGACGGCGGGGUAACGGCCCACCGUGGCCACGAUCGGUAGGGGUUCUGAGA